GUACCUCUACUGAAGUUAUGGUGAAAGAUGGAAUCAGGCACUAUUAGUAGGCUGGAUGGCAGAUAUAUCUAUAUCAGCGUGUAGCAGCCAGCAGAAUAAAGGAAGUUGUGUUCCAGUUGGUGUAUGCAGCAGCAUCCUGUGGUGGAGAGAAGUGGUGACCACACUUCUCUCAGCUUUCUGGGCUAGCUGCCUUCAGGUGUGCUGAGCAGGAAUGGUGUGCAAAUCGAUCCCGAGGCAAUCAAUGACACGGCAGCGGGCCAGAGCUGAACACCAAUGCGCUGAUCGCCUCCAAAUCAAUUCACACACUGCUCUUGCUCUGGUUACCUGCCAUUUCAGAAAAAGGGAGGGAUGGGGAAGUGAGAAGAAAAUUACACAAAGUAUUCUGGGACCUUUCUAAAUAGGCCACUUACUUGCAACCCUUCCUCUUGUAUGUGCCUUUAUACUAGAUGUAAGUAUGUGAUAAGGUUACAAUGCAAUGCCUUCUUCAACUUAGAUGCCGCUCAAAAAGAACGGAACAGAGCCCUGGAGAGUGACUGGCAAAUUGUGUGGAAGAGACAGCAGUCCUGCAUCCUCACUGUCUUGCACCUCAUGUAUUAGGUAUUUAAACUAGUCAAGCAUUGCUGCUUGGAUGUCUGCAAGCUUAAAUAAUCACAUAAGGCACUGUGCCAUGAGGAACUGUGCUUCCUAAUUUCUGAACGCUCCUCAAGGUGAAUGGUUUUUGUUUUGCUUUAAUAAGCCAGAAGUUGUGCAUGUCGAAAGUGCCUUUUGUACAAAGAUCUCAAUUUACUUGGCAAACUUCCAUGAAUUGAGUGUCUCUGCUUUGCUGUCAAGGAGUGAGGUAUUGUUAUCUCCAUUAAGAGCAAGUGAGCCAAAAAUAAAUGCCUCGUCUCUUCA